rnacentral:rRNA from 1 species
CCCCUAGAUGUUCUGGGCCACACGCGCGCUACACUGAACAGUUCAACAAGUCUUAACCUUGGCCGAUAGGUCUGGGUAAUCUUUGAACGCUGUUCGUGAUUGGGAUAGACCUUUGCAAUUAUGGGUCUUCAACGAGGAAUUCCUAGUAAACGCAAGUCAUCAGCUUGCAUUGAUUACGUCCCUGCCCUUUGUACACACCGCCCGUCGCACCUACCGAUUGAAUGGUCCGGUGAAAUCUCGGGACGGCGGCUUGGUCGCUUGCGUCCGACUGCUGAAACUUGAUUAAACCAUAUCAUUUAGAGGAAGGUGAANUCGUAACA